AUUGAACGCUGGCGGAAUGCUUUACACAUGCAAGUCGAGCGGCAGCGCGGGGCAACCUGGCGGCGAGCGGCGAACGGGUGAGUAAUGCAUCGGAACGUACCCAGUCGUGGGGGAUAACUGUCCGAAAGGACAGCUAAUACCGCAUACGUCCUGAGGGAGAAAGCGGGGGAUCGCAAGACCUCGCGCGAUUGGAGCGGCCGAUGCCGGAUUAGCUAGUUGGUAGGGUAAAGGCCUACCAAGGCGACGAUCCGUAGCUGGUCUGAGAGGACGACCAGCCACACUGGAACUGAGACACGGUCCAGACUCCUACGGGAGGCAGCAGUGGGGAAUUUUGGGACAAUGGGGGCAACCCUGAUCCAGCCAUUCCGCGUGAGUGAAGAAGGCC
rnacentral:rRNA from 1 species